rnacentral:lncRNA from 1 species
AAGCCCCACAACCUCACCGCCUCUCCACUCUCAACUCUUCAUCUCCACACAAAUACCAUGUUUCCUCAACUGGGAUUUCCCUCCAAUUCUCUGCAAUAAACCCAACUCCCAUACCUUCCCUUCUCUCCACCUGAAAUGGGGAAUCUCUCUUUUCCUCAGAAGGGUCUCAAGAUUGGGUGUCCCCGAAACUUCCUGGAGGUCCAAGUGCCCUUACUAUCAGCCCCCACCACUGAUUCUGGCCAAGGGAGUGGAUGAAGCACAAUGGGUCGAUGCGCAAAAGCGAGAGUAUGUUAGGAAGAGGCUGAGAAGGAAACGCCUAGAAAGCCAUGUCCACCCUUUAAUUCCGAUUUUGAUUCCCGAUUUAUUAUUGUUCUCCCUGCUCUGGUUCAAUCCAUUUCCUCUUAAUGAUUCCUGACAAUUUUCCUUGUCUCAGAAUUGUAUAAUAAUAAGUACAUAACUCUUAUGUCUUAUCACUUCUCUUGUCAACGUUGGAUCAUUUUAUUUACUUUGGUCGAUUUCGGAUUUCUUUCUCGGUAGCACUGUUGUUUGCCUUAUCAAAAUCUCUACUCUCAGAAAUUUUUCUUUCUUUUAUAGAAGAUGAUGAUGAUGAUGAUGAUGAUGAAAAGGGGCUUAAAUUGAGGCCCCAAGUAAAUUAAUUAGAAGCUACAACAUCAUAAAGCAAAAUCAGUAAUAAAGAGUUCUGAUUCACUUUGCUUAAUAUAGAAUUUACCUUUGCCAGUUAAGCCCGCCUGUAAUUUUGGUUAACGUCUAAACAUGCAUUUAUUUAUUUAUUUACAACUUACCUCAUUAAUUUUCUCCCCAUGUAUAACCCACCAAACUCCAACUGCACUACCUGAAACUCUUUAUUCGGUUUAGUUAAAUCUGGCCUCCACUUUACCACAACAUAGUGGGGCUGGCCAUCGCCUCCACUUUAUUCAAUACAUUCAGCUUCUAGAAUUCCAAAAACAAUACAUCAUGAUUUGUUUAUUAUGUUACUUUAAUUUUUUUUCCCCUUUUCGUCUAGUCUUGUUUUAUAUUAGCAGUGUUGAUCGUUGAUAAAGGUUGAAGUUUCGGAUUUUAAUGUUUGAGUUUAAGUUCUACCAUCUAUAAUUGCAAUACGGGUCUCUCUUACCUUGUGUAUAUGCGGUGUGUUUUAUCUAAUUAUUUUUAGAUUUUACUAUGUUUUUGUUCAGUUCUUCAUCUAUUAUGAAUUGCAUCAGUUGAAUUUUACGUUAUAAUUUAUUGAACAUAUAUUUAUUUUUGUCUUCUAAUUGUACAAUUUUUAUACCAGUGAAUUUUUUUAAAAAAAAUCAUGUGAUUAUGGAAUAUACGACAUAUAUUUAUGAAAUUUUAAGAAAAGAAAAAAAGAAAUGUUAAGUAUACACCAUUUUCAGUCACAUUAGAAUCCUGUUAAUACAUUAUUUCUACGGCUUCUACAUCACUAAACUGAUGAUCACAUUGGAUACUACCUUUUCUUUUCUUUUUGACUUAAUAGUAUUAAUGGUUUUCGAGUUUGGCAAACAUUUUUUUUCAAAAUUGGGUAGGAUUCGAUGGCCAGAUUGAUACAAUCUUUGUACGGCCGAAACGCUUCCCUACCGUUAAUCAAGCAACCAAACUUCACUUAAUCCAAGGAAAAGAAGAAAAGCAAAAAGUAAAAGCCAAAAGAAAAAUUAUUCAAUUGAUUGGUCAAACACUAACGUUGACAAUAAAGCUUCUUUUUUUUUUUAACUCUCUACCAUUGAUCUUUUAUUCCACCCCUUCCUUACAGCUUUUUGUUGUUGUUGUUUUCUAAAACAGAACCUCAUAAUAUCAGACAUAUUGGGACUCUGAAAAUUCAACCUUCAGGGAGAAAAAAUCCUUCUUGUUUCCAUUAUGUUUAUUUUGUUAUAGAUGGAGGCAUCGGUGCUUGAGUUGUGAAUGCAUAAGCAUGAACCAUAAAGUUCAAUCAAGAUAUGAGGAGAAUCUUCUUUUUCCUUUAUCUUUGCUUUUCUGUUUUUCCUUUGUUGAUGGCGCCAAACGUAGUCUUAAAGUAUAUUAGAUACAUCUGGUGACCAACAUUCAAUUAUAAUAAAGAGUAUAGAUAGAUACAUCAAUACUAUCCAGCCCUCUUUCAUGAUGAUGUUGCAAGUUUUGCACUCCACCCCCAUAUUAUUAUGAAGAGGAGAAAUUCCUGUUAGUUGAGCUUUAUUUUCUAAGAAAUGACUUCUAACAUUAAUAAAUUUGAAUCAUGAUAUAUUUAUAGCUAUUUCUCUUACUCUCUCGUAUUAUAGCUUUCUUUAUAUGCUAAAACAGGAGAUGAGUAGGAAGAAACAAUUUUUGUUAAAAGACGUGAAGUUGUCUUAAGAUUGACAAGGCAGUUAGAUGCAUUUAAAUUGGUAUUUAAGGAUAUGUCUGUAUAUAACUAGAACUAAUUAAGAUUACAAUACACUGCAAAAUGAUUCCACCUUUUUUUUUGGGGGGUUCUCUCUUUUAUAUGAUCAAAUACAAUGUUGAUAUGAACAAGGUUUUGCAGUUGUAGAAAAUCGUGGAGGACUUUUUUUUUUACAAAAAAGAAAGAUAAAAUUCAUAAAAAAUGUGAAGUUAAGCAUAUUUAGCGACGGGUGGGGUAUGGGGUGGUUUGCUAACAUGGAAUGCGCAUGGCAGAUUGGCACUUUAAAGAAGGGAUGGGGCCGAGGGGGCGGGAGUUGUUAAAUCCUCGGGGUAGAAAAAGGUAAGUAAGCGUGUCCCUGGCAUUAGACAAGGAGUAGAGGGGGCAGCACAUGCACAGCAUAACUAUAUCUCUUUAUUUUAUGUCCCACUCCACUCCCCCUCAUCUCUGCCGCAACAUUAAAUACCAUAUGCAUCCUUACUAUUCAUAAUGGUUUUUUGUUGGGUUGAUGUUACAAAAUUACAAUUUUACUAUAGAUGUAUUUAUAAUAUUUAAGAUUUUUUUAAGUAGGAGUUUAAUCUUUGGUGGUGAUGUUGAUUUUAGAUAUAUUCCCCACCCGCAAGUAGAUAUCAUACAUUCUAAUAUAAUUAAAAAUGGUAUAAUUAAAAUAUUUUUAAUAUUUUUAAUAUUAUUUUUAUAUUUUUGAAUUUUUAAAUUUUAAAAAAUUAAUUAAAUGUUGGUGCGUCAUCUACAUGUAUGCAACGGCGAAGCUUAAAAAAUAUUAAUUUUUUUCAUUCGUGAUUUGACAAAAAAAAGUAAGUUUAAAGGCUAAAAAAGCAUAAAUUUAAAUAAAUAGCUAAAAUAAUUUUUUUACAAAGUUAGAGAGCCAAAUAAAUUAUUAUUUUAUUUAAAAAUAUUUUUUUAAUAAAUUAUUAAUUUAGUCACAUAAUCUAAUAUAAUUUAAUUCAAACCCGUUGGUUCCAUCAACAAAUUGAUCUGCAUGAGACUUAAGGGUUAGAAUUUGGUGCGUAACUCUUUUUCCUCCUAAUUUUUACUUUUAAAAAGAAAUUGCAAUACAAUUUUUUUAUUAUAGAAUUCUCCAAUUUUUAUUUAUUUAUUUGAUCAGGAAGCUUUAUUGACACUGCUUUUAUUUUUCCAUCAAUCCAAUUUAAGAGACAAUUCACUUUUUAUAAUUAACAAAAAACAAAAAGAAAAUAAAAGAAAUUACUUUUUCCUUUUUCGUGUUCGAUACAAGAUAGAUGAAAUAUGGAAAAUAAAAUGCAAUGAAAAUAUAUUAUUAGUGAUAUAUCACCUCCAUUAUGUAGGGGAAAGAAAUAAAAAUAAUAUUAAUUUAUGAUACUUUCAUAAUGUGGUUAAAAAUAAUUAUCUAGUAUUUUUUUGUAAAAAAAAAGGAAAGUUGAUAUCUAUGCUACUAAUGAAGUUUCUUAGUGAGUUUGUUACUAAUCAUAUUCGAAUUUUAAAAAUUGUGAAUUUUUAAAAAAUAAGUUAUUUAUAUAACUAGUAAUAUACUAUUUUGACUCUUUUUUUAUCCGAGUUAAUGUUAGUUAUCUCGUGAUACCAAUUCAAUAAAACACUUUAUUUAUAUUAAAUUAAUAUAGGUGAGAAGUAAAAUUAUUUAACAAAUAUAUUCUUAAAAAUACUAAAGGAGGUUUUGGUUGAAUAGCAAAAUAUAAAUAUUACAAAUUAUAAAGAUGUAGGUUCAAUAUUUUUACUAUUUUUCUAUAUAAAAUGAUAACCUUAUAAAAGUAGUUUGUGGUUGAUGGACUAAUUUUUUAAAAAGAAUUAAUAUUAGUAAAGAUAUAUAUGGUACUAAACAUAAGGAAAUAGGGGAAAACGUAUCAUAUUUGUAGUGGGAGAAUGGGAUCAUUACAAGGAAAAAUGAAAUAUAUAUCAUUAACAACAAACAUAAAAGAAAGCGUCUUUUGAUAAAGUUGUUAUUGGUGUAAUGUGAAGGGACCACAAUCAUCACCAUUCACCACUUGCUCCUAAUUGAGUUGAAAUCUUUUUACAACAUAGAAAACUAGAACAUCUCCCUUUCUUGCUUCCUAUAUAUAGAUUUUGUAUCAUCGCAAUUCCACAUCACACACGCAAGCAAAGCAAAGCAUUAGCAACCAUAGCCAUGGCUUCCUCACCAAAACUCUUCUCUAUGUCUAUCCUCUUCCUUUUUGCCCUCUUCUCCAUGCAAAUCCAUGCUAGAGAGUACUUCAGCAAAUUCCCAAGAGUUAACACCAAUGAGAAAGAGACAACAACCAGAGAGCAAGAGCACGAGACCUUCGUUCCCCAGACCACCCAAAAGCCAGAAGAGCAAGAGCCAAGGUUCAUCCCUGAAACCCAAAAUGGUUAUGGCCUUUACGGCCACGAGUCAGGCUCAGGCUCAAGCCGGCCCAGUUUCACCACCAAAGAAACCUAUGAACCCUAUGUCACCCCUGUUAGAUUCCACCCUGAUGAACCCUAUAACAGCAUCCCCGAAUCCUCCAACAAUAAAGACACUUACUACUACAACAAGAAUGCCUACAAGUCCACUAAGCAGCAAAACUUGGGCGAGGCCAUUUUCACCGAGAAAGGAUGGAGCACCAAGGAAAACCAGAACAACAACUACUACAACGGCAACAUUAAUGGCGAGAAGCAAGGCAUGAGCGAUACUAGGUACUUGGAGAAUGGAAAGUACUACUAUGACGUCAAGAGUGAGAACAGCUAUUAUCCAAACCAGCUCGACAACUCAAGAGGAGUUGCUUCCAGGAACGAGUUCGAUGAGAAUCGUUACAACAACAUGGGAAGGUACCACCAGAACCAAGAGGAGUUCGAGGAAAGCGAGGAAGAGUUCGAACCCUGAUCACCUGUCGUACAGUAUUUCUACAUUUGAUGUGUGAUUUGUGAAGAACAUCAAACAAAACAAGCACUGGCUUUAAUAUGAUGAUAAGUAUUAUGGUAAUUAAUUAAUUGGCAAAAACAACAAUGAAGCUAAAAUUUUAUUUAUUGAGCCUUGCGGUUACUUUCUUGUGAUGAUCUUUUUUAUUUUCUAAUUAUAUAUAGUUUCCUUCGCUUUGAAAUGCUAAAGGUUUGAGAGAGUUAUGUUCUUUUUCUCUUCCUCUUUCUUUUUUAACUUUAUCAAACAAUUUUUGAAUAAAAAUGUGAGUAUAUUGUAACACUAGUUGUCUAUAUUCCCCUACCGAAAAAAUCUACUUAAAAGAGCAGUAAAAAACGCAAAGAGAAAAUGAAAAUCAAAUACAACAAUUCUUUAGCUUUCUAUACAUGAACAUUAAUGAUGUUCCAUGCAUACAAGGACAAUAAUCAUGACAGCCUCAUUAAACUAUUUCGAAAUGAUUGGAUCUUUUCAUGAUCUUGUUUUGUAGUCGAUGAUCCCCCUUCACCAAACCAUGCACGCGUAUAUAAAAGAACCUAAUUAAUUAAAAAGUUAAAUUUGAACAAGUUAGGGAGGUCUUGUUGGUGAAAACAUAGAGCCGAUAGGAUUGGAACAAUGAUUAUAUAUGGCGUCUCGUAUGCAUCUAGCUCAUAGAUCAUAUGCAUAAAAACGAGUUUUCAACAGUCAUAACCCCAACAAAAGUGUGUAGCUUGCUAGUUGUGUGCCACUUCCAUGUGAUGAUAUAAAUGGCCACCUUCUUCAUCACUAUCUUUGCAAGUGAUAGCAUCAUGUUUUGAGGUCAACAGUUGAUCGCACUUCUGAAGAUAAAUUUUUCUCUAACAAUGAAUUUUUUUCGUAACUUUUAAUUAAUUUUUUUCGAUGGAAUUAAUCAACAUAGUUUUAAUUAGUUCAAAUAAAUCUGUUGGCUAAAUAAUAAAUUCAAUCGUACCAAGUUAUAGUUUAGGUUGAGAGUAUAGUUUAUUUCUUAACCAUAUCAGGUUCGGAGUACUAUUUAUUAGUACAUUAAUUAAGAAAGGUAAUCCUAGUCGAUCAAGUUAAUGGUCAAGAGUUAAGUAUGCUAGUUGGUAAACAAGCAGCAACGUAAAAUAAGUAGGACCACCUUAGCCAUUAAAGUAAAAGCAGGUAAUCAAUUUUAAAUAUAUAAUCAAAAAAAUAAUAAUAAAAGAGAGAGAGGAAAAUGAUGAAUUUCAAUUGGAUUAUCCGUGAAUGACGGAUAGACUGUGGUUUGUCUCUUCUUCUUUUUCAACUUUAUUUGUGUUCUCAAGCUUUAGCCUUUAGAGACCCUCCUUCUUUUUGACUUGUAUAUACACAUAUGAACUCAAUGAAUCCAAAGACUUAUCUUGUAGGUGUAUAUCAUCUGUUAUGUCAGUGUAGAAUGUUUAUAAUAUUAUAGAUAACUGUUAGGGUUAGUUGGAGACCGGCAAACCCAACUAAAUGGGACCGGAGAGGGUGCUCUCCCAGCAUAAUGUGUGGGUACUGAGUACAGUGUCUUUAUUUAUAUGGAACCCCAUUUCAACAAAGGGAAGAAUUUAUUGACCCCCAAAAAUAGGAGCAAAAUAAUUGUGGGAGUACUCAUGAUGCUGGGUAUUGAAUGGUUCUUAUUUUUAAAAAAAUAAUAGCAGUACCGUAACUUUAACAAAUAGAUAGAUAAUUACAUUCAUCAAUUCAGGAUAGUUCGUGAUCAACUCUGAACAAUGCAUCUCUUACUCUCCAAAACUGCCUCUAAUCUUUUCAACCCGAAACAUUUUUCGAGUGUUGACAUGCAAAUAUUGUAACUAAGUUCCAUUGGAGAAAGAUAAAGAACAAUGGCCCAAAUGGCCCCAGGACCUACUAGGAUCAGUACCCAUCUUUCUUGGGCCUUCAAACAUUUUAUUUAUAAAAAGCUUUUUAAAUGUUGAUAGACAGUUCACCAUAGGGUAUAUGUCUUUUUUUAGUUGGUGUGAUGACGAACAUUUAUGAAUUUUUGUUUAUGUGGUAUUAUUUGAUAAAUUGAAAAAUUAAAGUUAAAAUUAAAAAAUAUUCUAUAUUUAGAAUAAUUUUAAAACUUCAAAAGAUAAUGCAACCAAUAACAAAAUAUGAAAAAAGAAAAUUUCAAAUUCAGGUCUUUGUCGAGUUUCUACUUUUUACUAUUUUCUUGAUCUUUCAUUGGGGACAAAAAUCAUAAAAGCUAAUUAAUUUGCAAAUCACUGUUGAUUUUCUUUUUUUUCUUAAUCACCAAAAUGAAAUUCAGAAAUUGCGCAGAAUUUAUCUAAUUUUCUUUUAGGAUACUGUAUUUCAAAAAUAAAUUAUUGAAUGUUUGCUAAAGUGAUAAAGUAGGUCAUUAUCUAACACAUUGAAAAUUCCCAAUAGCUUUAUUAUGUAUAUUUUUAAUGUAAAACUUCCUAGUUUAAUUUUAAAAUGUAGUUCUAUAUGAACUUCCAGAUUUAUGCUUAGUUUUAUUUUAUUUGUAUGUUUUUAUUAUACAUUUUCAGAAAGGCCUAACCAAACUGAAUUGUUCCACUUCUUUUAUUGUUCUUUUCCCGAAUAGUCUGGGAGGAUUAAGAAUUUUGAGCUAUUUAAAUAUUUAAUUAAAAUUUUAAAAAAUUUCCAGAAACUUGAUGAAAAUGCAGAAAAAAAUUUGAGAGCUAUUGACAAAAAGAAAUUCCAACAUCUUCUAAGGAGCCCCACGUGUCCUUUUCUCCAUGCGGGCGGAUCAACCAUAGGCGGAGUUCAAAUCUUUUAUAUACGUUUCAACAUGUAAAACGCCUUUCAAUUUCCCAUGCGAUUUGUUUAUGGCACCUCCUCCAUUAACCCCAAUCUUGUCAAACUAAACACACAGACUGCAAAAACAAACAAAACCAGUGGAGUUUUAUUUCAUUUCAGAAUCCCACCUUCAAUCUUUUUGGUUUGGUACUAUUAAUGUCCGAAAAUUUUGAGCUGGAAUCAUUAACGUGAAAGUUAAUGAUUCUAACAACCCUGAAAUUGAUUGAUUUCAACUUUUUAACUCCAAAUUACUCUGGGCUUUUAAGUUUGUUUGCUGAAAACAAUGUUACAAAUGAACUUUCCCCCUGAAAUAUGAACCAUUACCCUUUUUUGUAGUCUCAUAUUCCUGUCAUGAACUGCCUCUCUUUAAGUUUUCACCUGUCACCAUUGCCUGCCCAUUUACUUCUAAAUUAAACACCCCUGAACUUAAAUUUAAAGGAAAUUAAUCAAUCAAUGUGAUACUUUAAAAAAAUUGGGUAACAAGUAAAGAACCCUUUCUUUUCUUUGUUAUUUAAUGGUGUUGGUUCCUUUCAGAAUGCAGUUGUUCUAAUUCGAGGGGAAGUAAAUGCAGGUUUAAGUGAAGUAUGAACCGUACAAAAUUCAUCAAUUUCUGUAAAUUUGUAUAACCCCCCCCCCCCCCAAAAAAAAUGUUGAACAGAGUAAGUUGCAUCAAAUAGAAAAUGAGUAAGAGUUAUGAAUAGACAAGCCAACAAGAAUCCCAUUUUCUUUUGUUUUCUAGCUUGUUUAGAUAGUAUGAUUACUCCAUUUGUGUGAACCUAAUGAAAUAUUGAAACAAACCCAUUUCUUUUCUCUUGAAACGAAAGAAACUUAAAUGUAAUAUAUGAAUAGGAGGCUAACAGCAUUGAUUCUCUUGCUGUCUACAAAGAUUUCGAUUACUCGUUUUGUUUGAGUAAUCAUUUAGCAGAAAACAGAGUUGAGUAUCACCUCCUCCAUUUCCCUAUAUAUGAGGUGUCCCGUUUCUUUAAUGCAUGGGAGGAAAAACUGUUAGCCAAAUACCAUUCAUGAUAAGACAUAUCAUAUUAAGAAAUAAUUACAUAAUUAUUCAUGAUAAGACAUACCUUUGCUGGUCCAUAGAUUAAAAAGAAAAUGAGAUUUUUGAAAUAUGGCGGUAAGUUGAUGGUUAAAGUGUUGUUGUUCAAUGUCUAAACGGGUGUGAUUAUGUGACCAAAUUAAGAUAAUGAAAUAGAAAAUUGGUUAUAUUAAUCAACUCUCUCUUGUGAUUUGCAAAGCUGAAACUCCUCUCCCCUGGGACCCAUAUCAUCAAUUGCUCCUUGUUUAAGGAAGAAUCUCUCAGAUGAGCCAAUCCAAGACAGGCGCUCUUAUUGACCACCUCUUGUACUUUUAACACUAGCUGCAAUUUUGUGUUCCGCUUGCGAUAUUUUGUGAUCCUCAUCUUCAUUCAUUCACUUGCCAUUUUCGUUUCAUUUGUUUCUUGCCGUUGGAGCUGUCAACCCAUGGCUGCUGAGGUAAAUAGUUCUUCUUCUUAUUGGUUGUUUUCUGUUGAUCAUGAAUGUGAACUUUUUUUUUCGUGAAUUUAUGUUUUGAUUUUCUGGUAACCAAGAAUCGGUUUCUGGGUUUUAGUUCCUUUAUGUUCUUGGUUUCUUGCUCAUAUAUUUGGUGGUUGGGAAUAGUAACUGAAAGAUUUUGGCCCCUGGUUAUGCUGAAUGUCACCGCUGUCGCGGUAAUAGUAACUUGCUGUUUACUAAUGAUAGAAUAAUCUAAAUUUGAAAGCUUUUCAUAAUUCAUACUAUUUUCUUUGGAAACAUAAAGGUGUUAUCAUGGCCUUUUCCUCUUCCUGAUUCACGGGUUUCUAGAGAGAACCUAAUUAAGGUAUGCUUAAAUUUAUGGUGUUUUAAGUGGAAUUACAACCAGGACUUUAUCUCAGUGCUUUCUCUGGUUAGCACUUACUGAUCUGUGCCGACUGUCUUCUCUGGUUACCACUUACUGUGUCGUUGGUUGGUCGCAGCUUAGAUUUUAAUCCAUGCUUUUGAUGUUCUAGCAGCACCAAAUGUAGUCAAAACAGAAAGAAUCUCCGGACCCUGUGUUUAUUACUUAUCUAGUUUGAAGUUAAAUUUGUUAGUAUUUGAUGCAAGAGAAAAGGGGUGAUGAAUGUUCAUUUGAUAUUAACUAGCAUGUUUGAUUACAAAGGAAGGUCCUUAAGUAACAUUGAUGCCUCUGUUUCAUCAGAAUGGGCUCUUUGGCUUGUGUUUGGAGGGUGAAACUGACAUUUAUGAUUUAUGUGAUAAGGAAUUUGACACUAAAAUGUCAUAAAAAACUUUUUGAGUUUGCCAUCCCCCACAUGGCUUUAGCCAAACUUCCUUUGUUCAAUCUCUUUCAGUUUUUUGAGAAGGAUUAUCAUUGAACAUUUGAAUGCUAAAUUUUGAAUCGAUUACCUUUUCCCCAGAAUCAUGAAACGUCCAAUGGUUGGCCACUUGGACUACAGAUAAUGAAUAUAAGGCUUGGGUUACAACAAAGGUUACAGGCUGCGGCUCCAGCUGUGGAACUAUACUUUUUGCACAUUCCCUCUAGCAGUUUUUCCUCAUUCUCCUCUUCCAACCUUGACACCGAGGUAACCAACCUUUUCUUCCCCCAUUUGCUGGCUCAACAUUCAAGCCUUGCAACAAAUAUAUAUAUACAUAUUUAUUUACCAAUACAUGCUAUUUCUUGCAUUGCUACCAGUCCUCAGCAUCAUUUUUCCAAGAUAACAGCGUAUCCCUGGGGAAGCUAAUUGGAUAUGGACCAGGUGAAAGAGAAUCGUUGUAUUUACAGAACUCAAUCCAUACGGAUCAGAGCUGUAGGCUACCUGUAAGAGGUGCCUGCAACUGCAAGGAUAAAGGACGCAGUGCAGAUGCGUCUCAGUCUCAGGGGAUUUGUAUUCCUCUCCUACUAGGAGCUCUACUAAAGAUUACUGGAAACAAGAUCAAGUCAAAGCGAUUGGAAUGAAUCCAUUCCUCUUCUACCAAAUUCUUUUCUCCUGUGUUUCAUAAGUUAGUCAUUAAUACUGCCGUCAACCGUCCAACAGCACUAUCGAAUUAACAUAGGAGUUUGAGAAACUGGAAACUCGAAUGUUAUUUUCAUUUUAAGAUGAUCAAGUUCGACAUUGAUUUCAGGCAAAUGAUUCAAAAACAAAAGGCUAGUUAUGUUCUUGCUUAGCACAAAUGUUUGCGUUUUGACUUUUGUUCCAGAAAGCAAUGGCUUCCUCAAAUCACCACACAAUCCAAGUAAAACCAGAAUGCCAAAGGUUCAAAUGAAUACCAUUAAGCUCGACAUCACUUGGAAGCAAAUAUUUGAAGAACAAACGAGAUUCAAUAAAGCAUUUAAACCAACGACCAACUCGAUUUAGAAAGAUCUUACUAUCAACACUUAAAUUUCCAGACGCAAUUUGUUCACUAGAAAGCAGUCUUGUACAUAUUCCACUAGUACUUAAUCUAGACCAUUAGAUGUUAAAAAGUAUGAUGCAGAAGACCAACCAUCAGCAAGAUUUGUAUACCAAACCCAACACGUUCACAAUGAAAAUUGUACCAUAAUAGCAUCUCGCCAACAUUAUGAAGGGUAAACCAGAAUCAUCAGGUCAAUCCAUAAGAACUCUUUCGGUAUCCAGCAGCUUAGGUCUCAGCAAUCUCGUCAUUUUCAAGCACACUAACCAACUCAUACUCGACAAGCGAUAGAUUGUUAUCCUCUUUAACAACAAAGUUGGCAGGGUCAGUGACCUCGAUGCGGCCCCAUUUGUCGACAGCCAGCCUCAUAGAACCCUUAAACAUAUCGAUCUUCGCAUUACGAAGAAUUACAGUGUCAUCGGGCUUCAUCAAGUCAACUGCAAAAUGAUUCAAGCAUCAUCAUGGAGUUUAAGACUGAGCAGUUUAAAUGUAUAACCUCUGUAAAAGUGAAAACCAAAAACCAAAGCAAAAUACGAGUUCACAAUUUUUGCAAUUGUGAGAACGCGACAAUUUCACAGAUAGGCCACCAAGUUUUACUAUGAUUAAUAAAUUAAGGAUUUGAACGCCAAUUAAAUCCAAUGUUUGGUUCUUGAUUAAUUUACCAUAUCUCUUCGAGAGUUUCUUAAAAAGUUUCAUAUUGAGAAAUAGAAUAAAAAACAUUAACACCAUGGCAAAUCAACGAUUAAUCAAGAAACUCAAUUCGUGUAACAUCGCAAUACUAAAUAAACCUUAAUUAACAGCUAGAUCCUAGAUCAUAUCAAAUCCACACUAGCACCAACAAAACAACGAACAAAAAAUAAAAGCUUCUGAAUGCCACUGUGUUUCAUAUAAACAAGCCAAAAAAAAAAAAGAACGGAAAGAUCAUAGCUUUUGGAAUUAAGGAUGAAAUAAAACGUACCCUUUUGAGAAAAAUUAAGAUCCGAUCGGUAGAGCAUAAAACUUUUUUUAAGAAACAGAAAAAAAAAAAAAGAAGGGUUAGAAAAUUGGACCUUGCUCAUUACGAGCAGUGAAGAGGACAGUGCCGGUCUCGUCUCCGACAAGGCACUCAGCGAUGCGGGUUUGGCGGAGAUUUCGAGAAGCGGCUCGACCCUUUUGAAGGACCAUGUUAGAGGACAAUACCUUGGCGACUAAGGUGUGGCCUUUUGUCCCUGGUUUUAGCUGAUCUACUUUCACAAACACCGGCUUUCUCUUCUCCGUCGUUUUAUUUUGUUGUUGUUGCUGCUGCUGCUGUUGUCCUUGUCGUUUUGGCUGCCCUGUCGUCGCCAUUGUUUCAAAUUGACAAAACCUCUUCUCUUCUCUGCUUUUCUUACUUCUUUCAGAGCUUGUGGGAGAAAGAGAAAUGGGGUAGCCCUAGAAGUAGAACAGAAAUUGAAGCAUUCCUACUUUUCUCUCGAUGGGAAAGUAAACGAUGGCGUUUUAGCUACUUUAAAAAGAUUGACUUUGAAGCCAUUUUUCUUUCUAUGGAUUUGUCUUAAUAUUUAUUUCUAAACUACAACUAAUGAAAAUGACUCUACAAAUCCUUUGUUACAUGAUUGAUGAAAAUAAUCAAUUAUGGUAUUUUCCAUCAAUAAUUAAACGUCAUUGUUUCUACGAAUAACUGCAACUUUUUCAUUCUUGAAAUAUGGAAGUGGGUAUGGCAUGAAUUAUGAAACACUCCAACACCCAAUACUCCUCUGAAUAAUAAUCAACAAUCAUUAUUUUAUUACAUAAUUAUCAGUUAUCUGUCGCUUUAAGAUCAAAGUCCAAUUAUAAGCAUUUAGAGGGUGCUCUGCUCCUGUACCAAGAAAAACACUGCAUUCAUAUUCAUUUGUCGAAUGAAUGGCCUUGGGCCAAUUGAUAUAUCUAUCCAUUAUUCAAGGUAAUAAUUCAAAUAAAUGGUGUACAGUAUAUGAUAACAUUUACUUACAGAGCGAUACAAAUAAUGCGAAAUUUCUCACAUCAACAUCAGACUUUCUUCUGAAAUAACUGUUAGCAAUGAAUACUUAGCUUUGAUCGAAAUUCUGCCACCUUCUACACAGAGUUUGGCUCCGGUUACCACCCAAUAUCCAGGUGUAUCCUGAGGUCCUCUAACUAUCUCCUUUGUGUCCACAAAGUUUGUCAUUUUGGGUGCUUUGGUUGGUGAAGGUGGACCACCUGGAAAAACUGCUGAAUUUAAGUCCACUUUGGUCGGCUUCUCAUUUGGAUUCAGUCCUGAACUGAACCUCGUGCUGAUCAACAUUGAGAACAUUCCAGAUUUCCGUGACAAUGUUGAGGGUCCAUCCCAUUCUGGUCUACGUAGCCUGGCAGAGGCCACCAUGGAGAACCCAAGCCUCAGGAACAGAACUUUCCUCAUCCCAACAACCUUUACCUUGAACCAAGCUUUGGUCACGAUAGGAGCAGUACAUUCAAAGUGGGCUCCGUUGUAGUGUACAGGGGCAGUGCAUACAUGCGAGAAUAUGCUCCACUUGACAGGUUCCAAAUACCCACGUUCGGGCUCAACGAUCGACUCAUAGCUGUGGUCAUCUGAGAGCGGGAGGAUUGUAGGGAGAGUUGAGAGAUGCUGAAGAUGGAUUGCUAGAUGGUCACUCUUCUUACCCUCCAAGUAUAGGCGUAUUCCUGUCACCGGUCGUUUUCCAGUAUCAACCUGCAAUUACGGAUUUGGAACUCGAGAAUCGGUGAAAUAAGAAUAGUAAUCACAUGCAUGAUUUAUGCAGAUUGUUUUUGCAAUUAUAACCAUUUUAAUCCGUGGCAAUCAUCCUGCAACAUCAUUAUUUUGGUUCUAACAAAAUUAUUUGACCCCAUUUUAGUGUUACAUUGGUAAAAAAGGGAAACCAGUCGAUUGUAUUAUGAGCUCAAAAAGCAAGCACUUUAUCAGCAUGCUCAGAAGCUUAGAUGACAUUAAAUAAAACGACAAGUCAAUCAACAAUCCAAUAUCAACACUGCAUCUACAAUGGUAAAAAUGUUAAGCAUGGCUAAGCAAGCAGUCCACCAAGGGGUUCAUGUAGAGUUGAUGAGGAAUUCGGGUAGAUGCAUUUAUAAAUUUUCAGACACAAUCAUUCCAAGUAUCAACUAUCACGGAACUUCACUUAAGCAGCAAACAAUCAUAAAUAACUACUAAAAUGUCAAAAGAAAUGGCGCAAGUAAAACUGUGUGCUGCGAAAUGAUACCCGUGCAGUAUUAACAUAAAGCUUAGGCCCCAUAAAAGUGAACUGAAGUGAUGGGGAUGAUUGUUUUCUGUGCUUGAGACCAAGAGGCAGAUCACUGUAUACGGGAGCCCAUUGUCGAGGUAUUUGAAAUUCGAGAAAUACAUGGAGUUCCUCUAUCGGUGGUUUAUCUGCAUGAUAUUAACAAUCAUUAGAAGCCAAAAUCAGAGCACACAUAAGCACCAUAUUAACAAAGAAGGAUGCAGUUAUAUGAUUUGCGAAAACAAUGAUCUUCCAUAUACACCAACAUUCACUCAAAAUGAAACAACUAGGAAAUCACUGUCCGCAAAAACUUUGAAUUUAAUGUACCUUAUAAUUUAUUAUAGAUCUUCAAGGAGCAUAAACAAUCCCAUUUUUUACAAGAGUAGUACAAUGUGCCAAAGUAUGAAUAAAUUGUAAUUCAAAAUAAAAAUAUUGCAUUUGUGAAGUAUUAAUAUGUAAAUGAACUAAUUAAACCCCAGCUAACAGGGAAAAAUCCAGUUUACAGAAAUUGCCCUUAUGUAAUCUAGUGCCAUCUAGACAUUUAGCCUCGGAAAAAACCAAACUAACGGUAUAACAAGUAUGCAAACUCACAUCGUAGGUACAAGUUCACUGCAUGGCUUAAAAAUCCAUUUCCCCGUGCACAGCUCAGUAGAGAAGUAAUAGGCACAAGGGAUAUUGAUAUGACAUUUGGUGACUGCGAUAUUGUUGACAGCCACUGGCUAUGACUUUGACCGAAAUCAAUGCCUCCCCUACGAAUAUAGAUAUUCAUAAUGUCCUGCAACAAAAACAAAAAUCAAAUGGAGUCGUCACCUCUACUAAAAGCGGGGUGCAGGUGUAAUUCCUAAACAACAGUUAAAAUAAAAACCAUCAAACUUACAUUAUUCUUUGAGCAAGUGACAACAGGUGGCCUCAUUGAUCCAGCGAGCACCCCUUGAUGAAGUUGCCCGGGAAUAUAAUGUUCUCCCUAAAGCAAUCGAUGGAAACAAAUUAGUGAGAAAAAAUUAUUUCCAAAGCCUUGCCAACAGUGUUCUUCCAUGAACUAAUAUGUAGAAGGGGUCAAGUAAUAAUUAGUUUGAAUUGUAAUCCUUCUAUCUCCUAUAUGGCAUUAUCGUUACCUUGAUUACUUAUUGCCAAGGAAAUUUUACAGUGCAUACUGAACAUUCCCCCCGCAAUUAUCUAAAAACUGUAAUUUUGCCUACCUACCCUAGAAUGCAAAAGUGAAUAGAAUAAUAGGCAUGCACAAUUCAUUCAGAUUUUUAAGAUUAAAUGCACCUUUGGUUUUUCCGAGAAUGGAGAAGUUCCUAUAUUUUCUGAAAAUCUCUCAUCAGCUAAUUGCUUUAAAGUUUUCUGCACUUCAUUGGGCUGAAGAUUUGAAUUUUGUAAUUGUUUUACAUGUAUAACAUCUUUACCUCCCAUUUUAACCCCAACAACAACGUGAGUACCAUAUUUUUCAAUGAACCUGGGAAAAACCAUGAUCAGCACGGGUUUAGUACAAAUUAUCAAUACUACUAACACACACGGUUAACGUCAAUGGGAGCACUAAAUUUAUAAGUGCAAUUGCUUUGCACAUGUUAUAAUCAGAUUCAUCAAAAACAAAGUAAUCAUAAUUCUUUCCCGGGGAAGUUUUUUACUCCAAAAGGUUACGUAUAUGACGAACUUACUCAGCAAUGGCAGCAGGGUCCCAUGUAGUAGGCACCUCUUGUUUCACACGCUCGGACAAAGUUAUGUUUGUUCUUUCCAACUCAACAUUGUACAGUGUUAAGAACCAACCAUCAUAGGCAAGACCUUUUGCGGCACAGGCAUCCUUCUGCCAGCAGCCUUUGAACUCGAACAUGGCAUUGAAUAGGCCGGAAGGAAUCUUGCCGGAUAAUGAUAGAUCCCGAUUGAACUUCUCUGACAUCUAGCAUAAAAUGACCCCCAAUUUAAUUUCAAACAAAUCAAGCCAAGUCUGAAGAAAAAAGAAAAAACUCUCCGGGGCUUUCUUUUUCUUCCUGAUUUUCUAUUUUCUAAUCUUGAAGGAUAGGGAUGCCAUUUUGUUAUUUCUUUGUGGACAAGUUUAGUUGCAAAACAACUUCCAAAGAACAAAGAUAUGCAAGAACCAGCAAAAAGAGCAUAAGCAAGAAAAGAUAAUCAUAGGAGCUCUCUUGAAUACUCUGGAACUUUACAUUAUAAAUAAUACAAAUUGUGGACUCUAAAUAUUGAAGCAUAUUCAAAUUUGCGAAAAUUUUUCCCUCAAAUAGAAAACAAAGCACAAACCAAAAUUAGCAAACAAAAAGCAAAACUUCCCUAUAAUUCUAAUAUUAUUAGUACUAGUAACUCUCUCUUUUUCAUUUAUUUAAACAGUACUAAACCAGCAAAAUAAACACAAAUAUACCAAAGGAAAAGGUCAAAAACUUACCUGGCUAAAAGAAAGAACAUCAGAACGAAACCUGGUACGCUCGCCUUUAUCGUAUUUAAUCGAAUUGGGGACAUCUUUUACAACAACUCCAUCAGGAAAAACCAGGUCCCGAGUCGCUGCUGAGUCAAGUUCGAUCAAUCUGGAGCCGGAAGGGCCAGGCAGGCAGGCGGAUAGCCUGACAUCCCUGCACAAGUCGAAUCCGAAACCGAUAACUGAAACGGCCUUUUCAGCCGCCGAUUGCGGGUCCAUUUGAUAAAGAUUCCCGGGCAUGGAUUCCUAAUGAGACGGUAGCUGGAGUUGCGUGUGGGUUUUAGUGAAACUGGGUAUGUAUUAUGGGGUUUUACCCACUGCUGAGGAAGGAGAUGGCCCAUUGAAAUGGUCUUCGGUCCGAGUUAUUUUAUCGAUUUUUAAUUUUUAUUUUAAAAAAAAUUUGCCUGUUUCGGGGGGGAAACAGAGAUAUGAAGGUGACGUUCGAAACUAUGACGUUUGACUUGAGAGUUCAGACAGACAGAAGCUAAUGUAAACAAGGGAAGUUUACCAGUCGGCUGGCGUGGAAACUAACUGAAACUGCAUACUUGUUCCAGAUGGAAACGUGUUUGGUAAAGUUUGGCUUUUUGAAUGUUCAAAAGAAACUAUAAAUUGAUUAAAAAGAAAAAGAUUGAAAAGUCAUUAAUAAAGAAAUCAAAUGCAAGGAGCAAAUUUCUUUCGGUACCCUAAGUUACGUAUAGACUUGACUUUGGGGAUGGUUCCGAUGGCGCUUUCAGGAAGUUCAAACGAACUUUUGUCGAGAAUAAUCAAAGAUGAGCGUUUUUAACACUCCCAAUUUUCAACUUGUGGAAUAGUUAAUCUAUGAUGGGAUCCAUCUGAGAAAUUUUCACCCCCCUCGAAACUUGGAACGAGGCAGUCCCUUUCCUUACUAGCUAGUCCCAAUAAAUCAAUAUUAUCUAACAUAAGCUAUAACUAAAAUCCACCCCCCCCCCCCAAAAAAAAUCAACACGCUUGUUAAUAUAUUGGACUGAAGUAUUAAAGCCUGCCUAAUCUAUUAUAAUCCAAUGAUUUGUAGUAGCUUUAAACUUAUGAUGGGAUUGAAUGCAGGAUGCUUUAGAUUCUAUUGAUACAAACCUACAUAUUAUUUGAUUACAUGUAUCGAUUUAACAUCAAGAUUUAAUUCAUUAUCCUUGGUAAUUAGUUUUUUCUUUUUUGAAUUAUAAAAAGAAGAUAAUGUCUUAAUAAUAAAAUAAUUAGUGUAACUCGAACCCAAGUCAUAUCUAAGAGGUGUAUAUCCUGAUGAUCAGGUCAACACAAAGGGUUCGAUAAUUGAUAUUAUCAGCAUCCUCAAUAUUUAUUGGUAUAUUUUAUUUAUCAAGAGAGUUAUCUUGUAAUUAUAUGAGAGGAAUAUCAAUGAUUAAUUAAUCACAAUAAAUUCACUGAUAAAUUUUAUCAAUAUUUGGAUGUACAUUGAAAAUAGUUUAUGUGAAUUUAAGAAUAAUUAUAAUAGUGAGAUUAAUUACUUUAGCAAGAUGUUAAAUAACGUAGUAGUAAUAUUAAAAUUAAUAGUUAUAUAUAUAUAAAUAUUUGGAUUCAAAUGCAAGGAUGAGAUAAUAAUAAUAAUAAUUUUUUAAUUUUUUGUCAACAUAUUAUAAAUAUGUCGUUAUAAAUAAAAUUUUCAAUAAAAUAAAAUAUAUUAAUCCCAUAUAAAAAAAAAUGUAUGUAUUCAUUUCCUAAAAUGUGUCCAAUUGAACCAAAAUCAAAAUUUCGCAUAUACAUAUGAACCACAAUUCAAGUUUCAUGUGUUUAAUUGCACCAUAUAAAAGUUCAAGUAUCAAAUUGCACAUUAGACCAAAAUUUAUGUAUAAGUUUAAUAUUUAUCUAUUUAUUUUAAUAUUUUUUUACAUUAUUCUAAGUAAAUAAAUAAGUAUUUAUAAAUGUUCGCAUUGAUAUUUAACAAAUAAAAUUUCAAUAACUUCGUUUUAUGUACGUUUAUAUAAAUAUUUUAGUUAUUUAUUUAUUUUAGAUUGUUGCAGACUUGCAAUAGAAAAUAUCCAAGGUUAAAAAAAGAAAAACAUAUAAUUUAAAAGUCCAAUAUUUUUGUCACUAAAGAAAUUAAAAAACUCACUGUCUCCCAUCGGAGACUUGAGCUCCACUGAAAAAUAUGAGAUGAGUUUGCUCAAUCACAGCUCACUAAUAUUAUUCAAACACCAUACGAUGGUUGAUUUGUAAAUUUUUUGUCUUGAAAAUUAAGACAGCUUCAGUUGUAUCCAAAUGGAGCUUGACUGUGUCAUCCCAAGAGCUUUUGGUUUUCUUUUUGUCUUCUUUAAGAGUGGUUCUUUCCUUUUCCGUCGCCAAGUCUUAAAAGUAAUCAAAGAGUUGGAGUUUUACUCGCUUGCAUGGCCAAUACGGUGCUUGACUUCAUUGAUGCUACUUCAAAGUAUGACAUGCAAUAACAUAAAAAUAUUUGUUCUUGGUUUUCCGAAUUAAGAACAAGCCAGAUAGUGUGUAUACUUAAAAGAAGUUAAGAUUCGAGUAUUUAAUUAUCCUAUAUAGAAAGCCUUUUUCCAGUGCUCAGCAGAUGUAACCAUAUAUGGUUUCUACUCUAAGCGUGCUCUCUCUCUUUUGUCUGCUCUACUUAUAGUCUAUCAUCUGCAAGAUAAAAAAAAAAUUUAUCCAUAUAUCCAUAGUAAACGUGUCUUUCUGGGGGGUUUAGAGAGUUUGGCAACAACAGUUGGCCUUAUGUAAUCUUGAAUUUUUCCUUAUAUGUAUAUGUUCAAUUUCUCAAUUUCUUCCGCUAUUUUUACUUGUUCGAUCCCAAUUUCAUUUUAUUCAACCUUGACCGUCAAAAAAGUUGAUGCAUUCAGCAAAUAACAGCUUUGUUCGCCAAAAACGUCGCUGCGAUUAGUAUUAGCAGAUUCAGACUUUGAUCAAAUUAGCUUUUCAGUGCCCAAGUACUGAAGUCUCUCACACGUUUCUGAUAAAACAGUAAGAACUCCAUUGCUAGCUGUGUUGAGCCUUGGAUUCCAUCGGGUAGUGUUUCGACACAAUUGUCAUGCAAGUGCAAAGCAAAUAAAACUAAUUCAAAUCAAAUACUAAUGGCCAACCAGGUGGAAGUACCAAAUCAAUAAAGUAUAUAAUAUUCGCUUAAAUAAAAUUAUCCAAUAUUUGAUAAAGAAGCAUCCUCAUGCAGACAACAAUAGACCUGUGAAAAACUCUUCCUGCACCGACAUGAAAAAAAAUCGGGGGGAUAACUCGAAAAACAUUAAUGAUUGUUUCAGCCGCUCAAGUGCUAUACUAUUGCACUCUUUCCUGCAAAAGAAAUUAAACUUCAAGGUCAUAUCAUAGAAAUCCGAAGGAUCAACCCAUGCCAAGAUGUGAGAUGAAAGAUCAGCCACCGAGCUAAUUAUAUAACUUUGAAAAUGUUAGAAGCCUCUUGUGAUCAGAUGAAUUAAUUAUUAGCUUCCUUAGUUGUUCUUGAUUCCGAGAAGCUUCAUGGCAACCUCCCAGGUGACGAUUGCAGCUGCAUUAGCAGGAAAAGCUCUCAGUAUAGUAGGACCCAGGCCUGUGUAGCAUCCUCUAAGUCCAGACAUCCGAUAUAUCUACAAGGCAAGGAAACAAUUAGAAUAUCCUCUGUUCCUUUCAAUAUUAUUUUGAUUGUUACAAAACCUCCACCAUGCUGCUAUCCAUCUUAUUGUGCUAGAAAAGGCACAUUCAGAUCAUCUUACCGAAUUUAAAACUUGAAACGGAUUUGUCAGAGAGCUUUUAUCUGGAGCGGUCUGGAUAAUGGUUUUUGCCACAUCCAAAGGUAACACAGUUGACCAGAACUAAGAAAAAACAAAUAAAGAAUAAAACUAGAUAUAAAUAGACCAUAUCAUAACUCAAAAUUGAAAAAUCAAUAUGCAAGGAUGUCAGAAUGCUUACAGCUACACCACCCAGACCACCACUCAGAAUUCCAAUUCCCAUAUCAACCAAAUUGUUAUGGUCAGAUGAACCAGAUUUUAGCUGUAAAUGCAUAUAAUAGCGGACAUAUUCAUACACACUAAAAAAUACUGCAUUUCCAAUAGAUUCCCUUAAAAAUGUUGUAGAGCCACCACGAAAGGCGCCUGUAACCUGUAACCUGUAACCUGAAAGGUGUUCCAUUAGUUUAAAUCACGUACAAAUUAAGUUGCCAAAAGGCAGAGUAUUUCUCACCCCAUCACUUUUUAUGGUUUUUAGUGCGCAAUCAAGAGAACUACUGUAGCCACUGCACUUUGGAACCAAAGAGUCAGUACCUUGAAUUUGCAUCCUACACUGGAGAAGCCCAAUGUCAAAAGCAUGCUUUGGGAGAAACAAACAGUGAUCUGCUAUCAAUUAUCAUAGAGCAAGUACUAGCGGGGCAUAGAAACUAAUUCUUACCUUCACUAGCUCUGAUGGACAUAGAACAAAACUGAUAAUAGCUCCAGCGAAAGCAGCAGAAGGAAUUAUUACUUGGGGCUGGGGCCUGCUACUCUGAACUCCUCCCUUAAUUGGCACAAAAAAUCUUUUUAAAAAAUAAUUUAAAACAUUACAAUGUGUUGGAAACAUGCCUAUGAUAUUAUUAAAACAACUAGUUCCCAAUCUAGUUUCUGCAAUAGGAGUUUCAUGGAUGGGUAUAUCACCUCCAAUUCCCUGUAAUACGAACCUGCAGUGACUGUUUUGUUUGCGAAUAAAUGCCAAAAAGAAGUGAACUUUCAAAAGCCAUCCCAACAAAAGAUGGCGUUGCCCCUAUAUAAAGUCCUCUAACCUGCCAAAGCUAAUCAUGAGUUCUCCAAAAAAGAAAAAAUUCAAAUAUGUUAAGAGUAAGGGAGAGAGUAACAACCAUGUAUAACAUAUACAACCAAAAAAGUGAACCAAUGAUUUAUAUUCCACAGACAACCUUGUACAUGCUGAAGUAUCCUCUCAACUUACGUAGUAGACCAAAAUCUUGGUUCUAGAAUUGCAGCUAUAGAUAUUGAGAAUUUGUAAGAAUCUUUCUUUAUUCUUUCUUUUCCCUUUUGGACAUAUACAAAUUGCAAAUUCUCUCUAUCUUCACAGAUUCAUGGAUAACUUCAAUUACUUUUUCCAAUAUUGACAUUUACAUUUUUAGAUUUUAGGACAUUAGCAGACAAGAUCCAUUGUAGGAAUAAACACAUAACAAGCUUGUCUGUGCAAAAUGUUGAAGUCUGAGAUAGCAGAACAUUUAGCUCAUUAUAUCCUACUGAUUCAUUUUGCAUUUGAACAGAAAGAAUCCCUAUAAACAAAAUCAAUAGGUCUUUGAGUUCAAGAAUGACCAAAAGUCAUAAACAAAUAACAUGAUCUCUUUCCACCGCAUGUAUUUAUCUAGAUGCCAGUGGUCUAAACUCUCAGCAAAGGUAGCAUUUGGUAUGAUGGAAAGUAGUCACUUUCCUAGGAAUUUAAUAAGUUGGAAAAUGAUUCCAACGUUUGGUAUGUUAGAUUUUAUUUACUUUUCUUGGAAUCUAACUUUCCCUUAAGAAUUACUUUCCCGUAAAUAUGGCAAUACGAUUCCCAUGAUAAAAAGGUGGGAAAAUUACUUUCCCAUUCCCAUGUAGAUUGAAAAGUUGAAAAAAUAUUAAGACAAAUUAACCCUAUUUUAUAUUGGAAAAACUAUUGUCUUCUUCCUUUGUCCUACUACUUGAUUUUCUCUAUUACUUCCACCAGAUUCUUCCUACAAUUUUAAUCAAUACCUUCCAAUAUAUUAACUUCCUCAGUAAUCACAUUCCCAGCCAUCAUAUUCCAUCGAAUCACAUUCCAUAGGAAUCAUAUCAUGGAAAAGCACCAAACACUACCAAAGAGCAAAUUUACGAACAGGGUUCUUGAUGGUGAAAAGAAAAGAACAAGGAUUAAGGAGCAUACCCCUUCAGUUGCGAAUAUCCUAGCAGUGCAAUGGAAGCCAUUCCUAUAUGUAAUCCCCUGCACAUUAGUAUUGUGUUUCUGCAACUUAACCUGACCAAACAACCGUAGAUACAAAAGAAGCUUUACUAAUUGUUACGUUGUCAACAAAACCAGGAAGCAAUAAAUAGAACUUAUCUUAAAGGAAACUAAUCAACAUUUACAUGUUCCCAAAGAGGAAAUUUUCCGAUUUUUAAAUUCGAUGAUUGAACCCACAUUCCUAGCAACACUAACAACCUAGUUAAAUUGGUAAUUGUUACAACUUAACAAACAUAAUCCUUCAAAAAUUUCCGAACCCAUAUCUAAAAAAAAAGGCUUUAUUUUCCAAAUUUUUUAGGAUGAGAAAUGAAAACGAUAAGAAAGAAGUUAUACCUUGACAGUGUCGAAGGGGUGACCGACGACGACAGUCGCAACACCGGCGAACAAGCCCGCGACGUACUCUUUGUAACUGUAAGGUUUGCGACUGUCUUCCAUGACCAUGUUUUGGUAAAUGUCUAAAGCCUUUUUUUAGUUUGACAGUAAAAAGAACAUCGGAGAUUCGGUCCACUCCGCGCCAGAUCCUAUAGAGCGAUUGUGCGAGGGAGAGCUACAGCGAAAUCCUCGUCAAAAUCUCGAGUAUCAAUAAUCUAGAACUAAAUUACUACUAUAUGUUCUAUCUUUUUAUUAUUAUUAUUUUAAAUAUAUAUUUCAAUUUUUUUUAAAAAUCAGUUGAUAAUUCAUUAUGUUUUGUUUUUUAUUCUUUUUAUUAUUUGUAAUCAAAUUUCAUGUAAAAUAUGAUAAAAAUUUUAAACAUAAUUUAAAGUAAAAAUAUGAAAAUAAAAAUACAUGAAAUGAUAUUUUAAUCAUCCAAAUAAAUUUUGAAAUAUUGAUUUUCUUACAUGAAAUAUUAACUUGUUAAUUGAAGUUGUAAACACUAAUAAGGAAGACUGUAAAAGGAAUUUAAGCAUUUUGUGACAACCAACUUUUCAAAGUCAUCAUUCAAUGAUGGAACCGAGGUCGGAAGAG